ACUGAACACUACUCCCAUUCGACCACAAACUAUAUUUUUCUGUUCAACCUUGUCAUGGCUUUUCUGUCCCUCUCCCUCCUUAUACAAAUAGGUAGAUGUUGCCAAGAGGAGGGAAGGAAGGGAAGGAAAAGACAGUCUAUUUGAAAUCUGUGUCAGAACAAAGCUCCAUCUCCCUGACAGGACCAGGUAUUUAAGGUGUUCCUUGUGAGUGAAUUACUUUGCCAGCAUCACACUUGGGUGCCCAGACUAAGCUUGGGAAUCCCCUUCUUUGGCUUGGGAAUCACUUGGCUGUACAGUAUCCACAAGUUUUUCAUGGGAUAGGAAAGAAAUCCUGGCUAUGGUGGAGUUGAAAUCCUACCUAAUGACUGCUUCAGCUCAAGUUGGCCACUCAGUGUAUUUGUGCUAGGUAGGUAAACAUAGGCACAGAAGUCUACUAGGGACCACACACCCAGAAAGCUGCAGGUUAGCACUAGUUUUAAAGGUAUUUCAAAUUUCUUCCUCCUGUAAUCUAAUAGCUACACCCUUUGAGCAAUAUUUUAAAUUUCCCCGUCCCUCAUCUUUUUUCUUUUGCUUGUGGGUUGAGAAUAACGUCUAACUUGUUGAUAAAUUAUACUUGUUUUGUAAAUUAUAAGUGAUAUUCUGGAAAACCUCAGCCACAAUAGUCUCUCUCAGGGUGGAUGUCUGUCUGUCAUGGUCAUUCUUGAGUUAAUUCAUGUGUAUCUACUUUCUGAGGAUGAAUGAAGUGUGACCAAGUACUUUAAGGGUCUGUUGGUUAAGUUCAAGCACAGUGACCGUGUAGUUUAAGGUUUCCCUUACCAGAAUGGGUUGUUUAAAAUAUAUUGCAUUAUAUAUAUAUAUAUAUAUAUAUAUAUAUAUAUAUAUAUAUAUACUGCUGUUUAGAAAAAGAAAUCUGAGCCAAAAAAUACUUAAAAGAUAAUUUAGGCAUAAUGAAAGAAUGAUUUAACUACACCUAUCAUGUUUUCUACUUUCAAUCUUAAAGUUUCAUAAGGUAACCUUGGACUUUAAGUGUCCUCUGGUUACAUAUGCAAUCAUCUUGUUCUGGAAUGCAUAAAUAAAGACAAAUGCCUUUGCAAAUAUAUAAAUUUAAAUGAAAUAGUACAUCAUUCUAUCACAGCACUUAAGAGCCCGAAUUUCACUCCCUUGAUGGGAGGGCUUCCUAUUCUGAUGUGUAGGCUCAAUCUGAGAAUGGUAAAAGAUGAAGGAAAAGCCAUAAGUAAGUCUUAAUAAUUUUCCACUUGUCUAAGCAGUGGGUCUUCACCAUGAUUUGUUGUUUGUCUACGAUAGUAGUCCUAUACUCUGUCCAUGUGCUCAGUGGACGUCCUUAGAACUCUCUUCCCUUUAAUAAUUACAAAACAAAGCCCAGUUUUUAGUCAUAGUAACUGAUGACAUCAGCAUCAUAUUGGCAAGCUGUGUAUAAUAAUACUGUCAGCUUGGUGUAUAGCUUACUGGGUUUUGAUUACUGAACUUUCUAAAGCACUUUAAAAUCUGGCAGGGUUUGGAAAGGCCUCCUAAGGUUCAUCGUUCUCACUUUCCAUUAACACAAAUGAAAACCGAACAUGAAAAAUGUUCACCAUUUGGUGCAUCUUAUAUUUUUGUGUGUUUUCUAAAAUUAAUAAAGAAAUCAGGCAGAAUUCAGAUGCUUUUGGUCAAACUGAACUCAAAUAACUUCACUGGGACACAUGAAUUAUACUUAGCAUUUAGCCUAUUUCAACCAAUAUGCUUAUCUGUAAAUUAGAGAUAACCACAUGAAGCUGUCUAGCAGAAAAAUUGAAUCAGGUUUCUUUAUGUCAUGUACUAUCAGCAUUCAAUAAUUCCAUGUUUAAAUUAACCAUCUUUGGUCUAUAAUCAGGUAAUGUGUGGAAUAGAAACAAGAGUAAAAAUGGGUUUUUGUUGAAGGAAAAAUCUUGACUACAAUUCACUUUGGUAACCCAGACAGGAUUGAAUUUGGUGUUAAUAAUGACAUCUUGACACACAUAGCAGUUACCUGGGAUUCAUGAUCCUCAGUUGAGGAGUUGCCUCAUUAGAUUGCUAUGUUGGUGGGAGUGUUUCCUGAUUGAUAUAGAAGAGCACAGCCCACUGCAGGAAGUACCAUCCUUGAACACAUAGUCAAGGGUUGUAUUAAAAAAUGUAGGCUGAACCAUAGGUACCAGACCAGUAAGCAGCAUUCCUGGUUUCUGUUUCAUUUCCUUCUGCUUGGUUCCCACCAUGAUUUCUGUCUUGACUUCCUGGAUUCAAGGACUAUAACCUACAAACUAAAGUUAACAGGUUCUUCCCCAAAGUGCUACUGGUCACAUUAUUUAUGGAAGCAAAAGAAUUACCCACCAGUCAUACAGCUUUCAAGCACACUUGGUCGUAUCUCAGUGAAAUAAUCAGUCAUCAAAAGCUGUGAAUAUACUUUGUGGAUUGUGAAAAAUAUACACUGUGUCCAUGUAUACUUUGGCUGCGUUGGCCAGAGGUUUAUAUCAUAGAUAACAAAAAUUGAUUUGUAAGUAAUAUCUUAGAAGACUCUAGGGUGAAGGGAGGCAGAUUAAGAAUUUAUGAUGUCUUCAUUUGGUUCAAAAUUAUUUUACUUAAUAAUUAUUGAAUUGAUAGACAAAAUUCAGUCUGUGGCUGAAAUAAUGAACUAGGUACUUUCUCUGAGGGAAUAGGCUGUGUUUUUCUCUGUCGUGUUCUCAGAAACUCAUACCCACAUGCAAAAAUUUCCAGUCUUUUGAUACCUAACUGUGCUUCAUUUAAUCAUCUCCUAUAAUGAAUUCAAGUACAUGUACACAACAUGUACAUUCUUGUGUACACACAAACCCUUGAGAAUGUGUGUGUGCGCUCACACACACACACACACACACACACACACACACACACACGUGAAAGAUUGUUCCUAAUAAUCUACAGGAAGUUAGUAAAAAUUCCUCAUGAUUGUUCUGACUGGAUACACAGAGAGAGGGAAAGAGAGGCUAUCUUUUAUUGAAAAUACUGGUCUGAACAUUAUGUGAUCCAGUAGAUUUUUCUUAUUUUUGAUGUUGUCAUGGGUGGACUGGUGAUAUUUGGAAUGUCUCAUACUAGCUCCUUUGUGCUUACAGUCACUUCUGUUCAGUAACAUUUAACACAGUGGUAGUUCAAGCACUAGGAACCUGGUAUUGAGUUUAUAGUUAUCUACCUAAGAAUUCAUGAUUGCUGGUAAUUAAGAGCAUAUAAUGCCUGAUAGUAGGAAAUUAGUGAUGAAGAGGUGAAUGGAAGCAUCAAGUCGUUUUCAUUUGCAGGUACAAUGGUGAAAGGG
rnacentral:lncRNA from 1 species